rnacentral:antisense_RNA from 1 species
CAUGGAAGUCUCCAAGCCUGUGCCAUCCACCUGCCAAGGAAAAGCACAAGCAUACAGUUUGAACAUUUAUUCGCCUCCUGAGCUUGUACAACAGUCGUGGGAGUUGCUGCAGAAGCAAGCGAAAAGCCAGAUGAGCGCUUCUAAACUUAGAGAGAGGAGAGUUGGGGCCUUCCAUUCCCUCCAGUAAAUACUUGUUUUUCUUCCACCGCUGAGGCAAAUGCGGGGUGGCUGAUCACCUGGCAGACAUCUUAGGAAACAGGAGCACCGGUCUGGGAAACUGCUGGCCUGGCCUAACACCUGGCGCUGUGGUGCAGGAAAAUCAGUCUGCGCUGAACAGGAUGGAAUUGGGGCAGGACGUCCAGUGAGGAGGACAUUGAGGCAGUAGAGCAG